rnacentral:rRNA from 1 species
GACGAACGCUGGCGGCGUGCUUAACACAUGCAAGUCGAACGGUGAAGCGCCUUCCUUUUUGGUGGGUGUGGAUGAGUGGCGAACGGGUGAGUAACACGUGAGUAACCUGCCCCCUUCUUCUGGAUAACCGCAUGAAAGUGUGGCUAAUACGGGAUAUUCUGGGUCUGUCGCAUGAUGGGUCUGGGAAAGAUAUUGUUUCGGUGGGGGAUGGGCUCGCGGCCUAUCAGCUUGUUGGUGGGGUGAUGGCCUACCAAGGCGGUGACGGGUAGCCGGCCUGAGAGGGUGGACGGUCACACGGGGACUGAGACACGGCCCAGACUCCUACGGGAGGCAGCAGUGGGGAAUAUUGCACACUGGGCGCAAGCCUGAUGCAGCGACGCCGCGUGAGGGAUGGAGGCCUGCGGGUUGUGAACCUCUUUCGCCAGUGAAGCAGGCCUGCCUCGUUUGUGGGUGGGUUGACGGUAGCUGGAUAAGAAGCGCCGGCUAACUACGUG